GUGGGGAAUCUUGCGCAAUGGGCGAAAGCCUGACGCAGCCAUGCCGCGUGGAUGAUGAAGGUCUUAGGAUUGUAAAAUCCUUUCACCGGUGAAGAUAAUGACUGUAGCCGGAGAAGAAGCCCCGGCUAACUUCGUGCCAGCAGCCGCGGUAAUACGAAGGGGGCUAGCGUUGCUCGGAAUUACUGGGCGUAAAGGGAGCGUAGGCGGACAUUUAAGUCAGGGGUGAAAUCCCGAGGCUCAACCUCGGAACUGCCUUUGAUACUGGGUGUCUUGAGUGUGAGAGAGGUGAGUGGAACUCCGAGUGUAGAGGUGAAAUUCGUAGAUAUUCGGAAGAACACCAGUGGCGAAGGCGACUCACUGGCUCAUUACUGACGCUGAGGCACGAAAGCGUGGGGAGCGAACCGGAUUAGAAACCCGGGUAGUCC
rnacentral:rRNA from 1 species